rnacentral:tRNA from 1 species
AAGAAAAAACUUGGAGUAAGAUAGGGCUGCUAACUUUAUUUUGGGUUGUUCAAUUCAAUCCUUUUUCUUA